UACGUAGGGGGCAAGCGUUGUCCGGAGUUACUGGGCGUAAAGAGCUCGUAGGCGGUUUGUCGCGUCUGCUGUGAAAACCUAGGGCUUAACCCUGGGCCUGCAGUGGGUACGGGCAGACUAGAGUGCGGUAGGGGAGACUGGAAUCCUGGUGUAGCGGUGAAAUGCGCAGAGUAUCAGGAGGAACACCGUGGCGAAGGCGGGUCUCUGGGCCGUAACUGACGCUGAGGAGCGAAGCAUGG
rnacentral:rRNA from 1 species